rnacentral:rRNA from 1 species
UACAGAGGGUGCAAGCGUUAAUCGGAUUUACUGGGCGUAAAGCGUGAGUAGGUGGCUCGCUAAGUCGAUUGUGAAAGCCCUGGGCUCAACCUGGGAAUUGCAGUCGAUACUGGUGAGCUAGAGUUCGGUAGAGGGUGACGGAAUUCCCGGUGUAGCGGUGAAAUGCGUAGAUAUCGGGAGGAACAUCGAUGGCGAAGGCGAGUCUCUGGACGACUCCUGACACUGAGGCACGAAAGCUAGGGGAGCAAACAGG